GUGCUGACGUCUGCAGCAGAUAUAUGAAAAUUGGAACAAUACAGAGAAGAUGAGCAUGAAACUUGUGCAAGGAUGACAUGCAAACUUAUGAAGUGUUCCAUAUUUUU
rnacentral:snRNA from 1 species